rnacentral:rRNA from 1 species
AAUCAACGCUGGCGGCGUGCCUCAGACAUGCAAGUCGAACGCUGCUGUUCGCCUUCGGGUGGACAGCGGAGUGGCGCACGGGUGAGUAACACGUAGGUAAUCUACCUUUGGGUGGGGAAUAACAGCCGGAAACGGCUGCUAAUACCGCAUAAUGCAGCGGCAUCACAUGAUGACAGUUGUUAAAGCGAGGGAUCGUAAGACCUCGCGCCUGAAGAGGAGCCUGCGGCAGAUUAGGUAGUUGGUGAGGUAAUGGCUCACCAAGCCUGCGAUCUGUAACCGGCCUGAGAGGGCGGUCGGUCACACUGACACUGACAUACGGGUCAGACUCCUACGGGA